GUUGUUCGGAAUUACUGGGCGUAAAGGGCUCGUAGGCGGCCAACUAAGUCAUACGUGAAAUCCCUCAGCUUAACUGGGGAACUGCGUGUGAUACUGGAUGGCUUGGAUUUGGGAGAGGGAUGCGGAAUUCCAGGUGUAGCGGUGAAAUGCGUAGAUAUCUGGAGGAACACCGGUGGCGAAGGCGGCAUCCUGGACCGACAUUGACGCUGAGGCGCGAAAGCCAGGGGAGCAAACGGG
rnacentral:rRNA from 1 species